GACGAACGCUGGCGGCGUGCUUAACACAUGCAAGUCGAACGGAAAGGCCCUGCUUUUGUGGGGUGCUCGAGUGGCGAACGGGUGAGUAACACGUGAGUAACCUGCCCUUGACUUUGGGAUAACUUCAGGAAACUGGGGCUAAUACCGGAUAGGAGCUCCUGCUGCAUGGUGGGGGUUGGAAAGUUUCGGCGGUUGGGGAUGGACUCGCGGCUUAUCAGCUUGUUGGUGGGGUAGUGGCUUACCAAGGCUUUGACGGGUAGCCGGCCUGAGAGGGUGACCGGCAAUAGGGGGAGUGAGAACGGGCACAGACUCCAGGGGGGGGCAGGGGGGGGAAAUAUGGAAAAGGGGGGGGAGGCGGGUGGCAGAAGGGCGGGGGGGGGGGUGGCGGCUUGGGGGUUGAAACCCGGUUGCGCGGGGGAGGAGGGGGGGGGGAGGGUAGGGGGAAAAGAAGCCCGGGCUAACUACGGG
rnacentral:rRNA from 1 species